rnacentral:lncRNA from 1 species
UUGAGCUCAAUGAUUAAUCAGCCCACAUUAGUCGUUAACAAUGACUUGGCUUUGUUAUAUGACAUGGAUGUAAUCGGAUGAGAAAUCUGAUUCAAUAAUCUCAAGAACAAAUUCUUUAGCUCUAGAGAAUGAGUUAUUUGAGGUUGGUAGCGACAGUGCCUCCUACGGCAAAAAAAUGAUUUAACACCAUAUUCAAAGAAUCCAGGUUUCGAGGUCUUAGACAAAAUCAGUCAUCUCACCUCCGCCUGUUAUUACAAAUCUGUGAGCUUACACGUAUUUUCGGUGGGCGGUAGAGCCAUACGCCAAUCACAGAUUGCGAAAUGCUAAAAUUUAGCGCGACUUAAAACGUCAAAAGCUUAAAAUGCGUAUUUUAUCUUAUCACAGCACAAACAAGCUCUGGAGAUUCGUUUCAGCUUAUGAACGAACUCAAAAGUCACGGGUCAGCUCAACAACCCGCGAUCAGCUCCCAAGCUGUGUUUCACGCCGAGAUCUAGCUCUCCAUUUUCACUUUAGCUUAUCGGUUUGCAGAGAAGCUCUCAAACUCUGUUUUAAGCUUAAGUAAUAUGCUUGACCAGCCAGUUCGUAGACAAGCCAUUUCAGUUCAGAAAGAGCUCCCAGCUCACACCUCGGUUCGUCAGCUUGAUUACAAACUAUGUAUCAGCUAAAGGAUCUCGAAUACCCAAACUCCGCUCGAGAACAGAUCCUAAAAUUUUUGUUCGACUCGAGAAGAAAUUCUUAAACUCCCUUGAAUUUUAAAGCGAGUCUGAUUCAAACCGUCUAUGAAAACAAAUCAAGAUCCGGUAUCAGUUGACAAACAAUCGUUAUGUCUUGACCAGAUUUAAAAGCUUACCUUUUAUGGUGAUUUUUUGAGGUCGGCAUUGGCACCGCCUCCUGCACUUAAUAGACUUCGAUUUUGCGACAGAUCGACAGCCAUACGCCACAAAACAAACGGACUUUGUCCAGAGAAGCUCUCAAACGAUGUUCAAACCUUCCAGCUCAUACAUGCCGCUUAAACCCAUUACUUAUCUCGAGAACAAUUCUCAAGCUCCAGAAGAUAAGUAAUUUGAGGUCGGCAGUGACAGCACCUCUCAAGCUGGAAAGAGAAUUUCUUCGUCUUCAAAGAACUUAGCAUUUGCGGUUGUUCGACGAAGUCGGUUAUUACACCUCCGCAUGUUCCUAAGAAUCUGCGUGCUUACACGCAUUUUCGGUGGGCGGGCAUACUGUAACACCCGAGUUCGGGAAAAACUGGGAAAAGUCGGAAAUAUGAGUUUAGUCGGGUGAAAAUGGAUUCAGUCGGGUGAUUCCGAGCUAAGUCCAGCUUUUGCCGAGCUAAAUCAAGUUUUGCCGGGCUGAAUCAAGUUUGGCCGAGCCGAGGCGAAGUGUUGCCG